ACACAGGCACGAAGUAUCCCCAGGGCACCCACGGGACGGAAAACUGCUGCAAACCCGUGUUCAGACCCCUAGAACCGAAAUAAGCGUUACUGUGUUUUACAGAGGAGGAAACUCAGUACUUUAUAGGCUGGAAAUUAAAAAACCAAGAUACCAGCUGGAAUAUACUCACGCAAGGGGAACCGUGAGAGGAGAGAUCAUCCUGGCCCAUUUGGUGGGCUGAAUGGAGUGACCUGUGCUAGGAACCCCCUCGGCACCUCGGGGGCCUCUUCAGACUGAGAGCGGCGUCCUGACAGGACAGUGAGUGGCAGAGGGACUGGGGGCUCCACACUUGUUCCCUCUAAACCUGGAGGGGCGAGGACGGAGGCGGGGGGCAUUGCCAGUGUGCAUAGACGUGUCUGAAUGAGGGCAUCAGGGGUGUGAAGAAGUCCUGCUGUCUCCCUCCCAGAACCCACACCUGGGAGGUGAAGCACUGAUCUCAGGUCGCACCGACUCACACGGCAACACUCAUUCAUCACCCUGCGAGCUGAUUUCAGGGCACCACUUACGGAUCUCAGAGUCCAAUUCCAGACCCUUCAACCCAACGUUCCCAUGGGGGAGGGCUCUGCUAGGAGCCACGCCUGUCCGGGUUGCCAGACGCAUUUGGCAGACCAUCACAGGGACACAAAACUGGAAGCACAGAGAUGCGCUCAGGACUGGAGACUCAAGGACAG
rnacentral:lncRNA from 1 species